CGCCUGUUUAUCAAAAACAUUCUUAGGUUUUAUUUGAAGUCUACCUGCUCAAUGAUUAAUUAAAUAGCCGCGGUAAUUUAACUGUGCAAAGGUAGCAUAAUAAUUAGUCUUUUAAUUGAGGUCUAGAAUGAAUGGUUGGGCGAAAAAAAUGCUUUAUUUGAUUUAUUUAUUUAAUUUAACUUCAUUGUUAAAAUGCAAUGAUUUUUUAAAGUGACGAUAAGACCCUAUAGAUCUUUAUUUUUUUCUAUUUUUUUUUUUUUGUUGAUUUUAUGUAUUUUUAGUUUAAAAAAUUUUGUUGGGGUGAUAAUUAAAAAUUUUAUCUUUAAUUUUUUUUUACAUUUAUUUAUGUUUAGUUUGAACCUUAAUUUUUGUUUAAAAGAACAAGAUACCUUAGGGAUAACAGCGUAAUUUAUUUGGAUAGUUCAUAUUGAUAAAUAUAAUUGCGACCUCGAUGUUGGAUUAAAAUUUUUUUGUGGGGUAGGUUUCACAAUAAUAGGUCUGUUCGACUUUAAAAUUUUACAUGAUCUGAGUUCAGACCGG
rnacentral:rRNA from 1 species